UUCCCUUUUGGAAUUCUGCUAUAGAAUGAAGCAUCAUGAGGCCUUCUCUGGACGCUGGCACCAUGAUCUAAAACUCCCCAGUCUCCAGAACCACAAACUAAAGAAACCUCUUGUUUGAGUCACCGGCAGGUUUUCCGUAUCCAGUACCAUUGAAGACAGGGGUGUGUUAUCCAGGCUAAGAAAAGCAUUGGGAAGCAAACAGCUGUGGUUCUCUAGCCAGUGCCUGAGUGACAGCAGGCUGGAUACUGGGAUGGAGUAUCCUGAACCAGGCAAAGCAGUAGAAGUUUCUCUGUGUGGUAGACCCUCACAGCCUUCCUGAUGGCAUGGUCCGUCUCCUCUGUCUUCAUCUGGCCCUGGGCUCUGACCUUCCUGACAAGAAAUGAGAUUUUGUGCAUCCAUGACACCUUCCUGAAGCUCUGCCCCUCAGGCAAGCACUAUAAGGAGGCCACACUGACUAUGGACCAG